CCCAACCCUGCAAAAGAGAGGCCUUCCCCUGAUAACAUCCUUCUAUGUGGAAAAUUUGUCCCGCCGGCCACUUCCCCUAGCUUCUGCACCUUCUGCUCCUCCUCCAAAGCCAUCUUGUGCACCAUCACCUUUGAAAACUACAGCAGCAGGUUACUAAUCAGAUCAAUUAGCUAGCCACUGCUAAUUCACUUGAAUCAUUUUUUAUUAUAUAUGUCUCAUAUUGCCAUUAACUACAUAACGUGUUUCUUUUUUCUUUUUCUUUUUUUCUUUUUUUUUUUCCUAAUUUUCCAACUUUGGAAGAAAAAAAAUUACUUGCAAUGCUGAAAGAAUUCUGAAUUUUAUAUUUUAUGUCAUAGAUUGAUAAGAUUUUUUCCCUGACUCUUGAGAUAUAUUGAUGUUUUCCCAGCUACAUAAAAAUGUGACAAAUAUGCAACAGACAUGAGAGCUCAUUAAGCACAUUCUUAUUUUUAUUUUUUGUUGAACAAUGAUCAAUUACACGUUGAUGUUUCCUCAUCCAAGUAAUAAUUUGACAUAUAUGCAACAAACGUGAU